ACACACACACCACACACACACACACACACACAUCGCCACUUAAAGCUUAAAGCAGCCCCUACAUAUGAAACACAACCCCAGGCUUGCUGGCCCAACCCAGUCACUCUCACAAACAGCCACAUUUUAACUCCUAUCUUUGCUGACCUAUAACCAUGCAUAAAACAUAUUUACAAAGGAGGAUGAGGUAGACGCACAAGUACCACACAGAUUUCAUGAAGUAGAUACGACAGCAAAGAACCAUCAAGCAAAGACAACCAACACAGCAAUGUUACUGACUCAAAUUUAGUAAAAUCAGAGUUAUCUAACCCUGGCCUUCCUUUCGGUUGUAACUAUGGUGGCUGAUCAGUAUGGAGCUGCCUACCACUCAAAAGUAGCAACCACAGAACUCACUCAUGUGGCUCAUAGGGGGAUGGCUAUACUUUGGGAGGCUGGCCCUGGUUCUGUCUCUCUGCUUCCUGGGUCAGUGAUGUGUGAAAAGUAGCAUCUUAGCAACUCCUACUGCCCCAGGCUGGGCUUCUGAUGCCUUCCCUCUGUGUCAGCUCACUGGAACCAGGAGCUAAAAUACAGCUUUGUUCCCUCGGGUAAAAAUACAACCCAUUCGGUUAGACUUGGUUUAGUGGUCUUCAGGAAACUAUGUAUUCUUUGAUAGUGUGAACUGAGAUGCACACAGGGAAUGCACUGUACAUGAGACCACACACAUUUACAUUUAUAUAGUACCGUGGGGUAUAGUCACUCAGGUCUUUGUAACUGCUGUGAGCAGGCAGGGUAGGAAGGCUGGUGCGGGAAGAAAGGAAACGGUUUGCCUAGGCUUAGAGCAAGUUGUUGCCAAUGUUUGCUCUAUUCUCCAGAUUUUUCUUUUCAUCUCAGAGUACAAGGCUCACAGUCAACGUGAGUUAGGUGCUCAGCUGCUCUAGAUGCCUGGGAUCUAAGUGCAUACUUACAGUUGGUUUCUUUUUUCAUUUGUUGGAGAAAUGGUCAAGCAUCAGACAGAUUGGCUUAGUAAGCAAAUGGGGAUUUAAUGCUCCUGUAACAGGAAGCUGGAGUUGGUAUUUGUCAGUGUCACUUUGGCUGGUGGAGGACCCAGGCCUGUUCUGACUUUGCCAUUGCACUCUGGGACUUUCCUCCUCAUGUAGGUCACUGGAGAGUUGCAAAAUGGCUGUUUCUGCUCUGGGAGAAAGUGAGCCGUGGGAGAUGGUGGAUUCCCACUUAACCUAGAAAUCCUACCAGUUGACUUCAGUUUGAGUUGCACUGAAGGAUUGGUACCUAUCCUCUCCUCAAUCCCUUGUCCUCGUCCUUCUCUCUGUUUUUAUUUUAAAAAAGAAAAAGAAAAGACAGAGACAAUGAAUAUUGAGCCUUGCUUUGUUAUUCUUAUGUAGAGUUAUGCAGAGUGGUUAGCAGUGUUGUGUGAGCUAGCUUCCAGUGUCUGCCAUAGUUACACAGAAAUUCCAUAUUGAGCAAACUGCUUUGGAUAAACAAUUGACAGGAUGUCACUAUAUGUUACUGAUGGAGCAAGCAUUGGUUCCAUGGAGCUAGGGGGAAAGUUCUGUUAGUGAAGUGCUUACCACAUAACCGUGAGGACCUCAGUUCAGAUCCCUGGUUCCCACUGAAAAAAAAAAAAUAAGCAGAGCCAUAUACCUAUACCCCAAGCUCUGAGGGGAACAGACACAGAAAGCUCACUGGCUUAAAGGAACCAGCCUAAAGGAAUAAAUCAGCUUCGGAUUUGGUGAAAUAUAAUAUUUCAAAAACUAAAAAUGAGAGAGCAUUUGAGGAAAGACACCAGACAUUGAUCUCUGGCCUCCACAUGUACAUGAGCACACACAGGCAUACACAUGUAUAUGAAUACUUGCACACAUAUGUGUACACAACCACACAAAUACACACAUAAGCAUACAUAUAACACACUCCCUCUCACACACAUACACAGGUGUAUGCAUACUUACCUGCAUAGAUAUGUGCACAUAAUCACAUGAACACACACACAUACCACACAUAUUAUACAUUCCCUCUCAACACACAUAUGCACACAUAUCUCCACACGUGUUCACACAGUUACACAAAAAUAGACACAUAACACACAUAUAACACACACAUACACACAACACAAUUCGAAUACAAGUCGUAUUAUGCCUGAAGGGGUUCAAACCCUAGUAAAAGAGGCUAUGUGUAGAAGGAUAGAAAAAGAGUACACUAUAAAGUCAUCGCUGUUCUAUGGCCUGCCUUUGAUUCAUCCGUUGGUACUAAUUCAUCAAGAAACAUGAGUAUAGAACAACCAUAAUAUGCAAUGCACAAGAGUUGUGUUGGAACUCAACAGAGUUAACCCAUGUAAACCUCUUAUUUCUGCAAAAGCUCUUCCUUCUUGUGACUGAUAGCAUAACUCAUCAACUGGCCAUGAUUUAGAAUCAUGAGGAGGAGAGUUUCAGUGAAGGAUUGUCUAGUUCAAGUAGGCCUAUGGGAAUGAAUGUCUGUAGGGAGUUCAUCUUGAUUACAAUAACUGACAUGUAAAGACCUAGUCUCUGCUGUAAAAAAUACUACUCCCUGGGUUUGGGUCCUGGACUGUGUACAAGCAGAGAAAGUAAGCAUGGGGCACUACACUUUAAGUUCCUGAUACUUUGGCUUCCCUGAUGUUUCUGACUGGGACCUACACUGUGAGCUAAGAGAAACCUUUUCUGUUUGAAGUUUGUUGGGGCAUUUUAUCACAUAAAUGGAGAUGAAACCAAGACUCUCCUCAAUAGAGUUUUCCAGCCCUUUGAAAAAACGGAGAUGAAACCAAGACUCUCCUCAAUAGAGUUUUCCAGCCCUUUGAAAAAAGUAUAGAUUUCACUAGAAAAUUGUUUCCAAAUUGUAUACUAACUGGAUGUAUUGAACUUUUCACACAGUAAAAGGUGAAUAUCAGGAAGAUACUUGCCCAGAGGAAGGGAUCAACUAAAACCUAGUACGAUAGCAGAUUGCACAGUGAUAUUGCUUAAGUCCUAAGGUCACUGGCACAGUCCUAUGUAAAGAGUAAAGUAGAAAUUCUCAUUUGGAGGAACAUCUUGUCCUAGCACAUCUAUGCUGGUACAUUGCACAGAUCAAGAGCAUGAACAUUGCCUGGGAGCUUACUAGAAAUGUAAACUCUGGGGCUCUAGGCCUCACCUAGCAAAUUGGAAUCUACUUUUUAAUAGGACUUCAAGUGAUUUCAUAAGUACUUUUAAGGUUGAGAGGCACUGAGUCCUGACUAACUGGUUCUCAGCAAUUGUGGAAAAUAAACCGCAAACCAAGCCAAGCCAUGGUGGCUCAUGGCUUUAAUCCCAGCAUUCAGGAGGCAGAGGCAGGUGGAUCUCUGUGAGUUAAAGGCUAGUCUGGUCUACAGGUUAGUUCUGGGAGAGCCAGGACUACACAAAGAAACCUUGUCUCAAAAAAAAAAAAAGCUAGAUAGAUAAUAAAUUGAUGAGAGACAGACAGAACAACCCAAGAGAGUAAAUUAUCUCUGUACAAGAAGCUUGGAACACAUUUCCCUGUCUGAUUAGCUUACCUAAAAUACAGUUCUGAUGCUGGCACCCAAGUCCUCCAAGAGCUUGUCAUCACUCAUCAAAUAAGACCUCAAGCCCUCAGUCUAUAGGAAAGGUGCUUCCACAUCUGACAGCAUUCCCCCCUCAACUCUCCUUUCUGUCUCUGUUGUAAACCUUAAGACUGUUUCUCAAAAUGUGGACAGGCCACCUGAGGCAGGACCUACUGUGGCCCACCCUUAACCUUCUGAGUGAUGUCCUUUAGGGGAUAGAAUUGUCAGGAUGUGAUCUUGACCAGGCCUUAAGUUGAUUCUUGGGAAACAAACCUCCAUAUUAGUUUUCUCAUCCUUGGUUAAGCUUCCUACUGUGUGUUCAGGCAUACUGAAUGGGCCACUCCACCCUUAGGGCUAACAAUGGCCCAAAGGCAGCUGUUUCCCAUACAACAUGUGGCGAUGAGACAUUCCUGUGCUUAUUUCCCAAAUUUAUGCUAUGUGUCCUUCUUCACACACACCAUCAGUGAUGUACACAAAGUACAGUACAUGUUCAUCAUUUACUGGCUCAGCACUAGCUAUACCAGAAACAACCUAAGACUUUACUGUUCAGAAACUACCUAGAUUAACCACAUCACAGCCAGUAAAAUGUGAUGCUUCAUUGAAAACAACAACAUAUAUUGAUUUGAAAGGACACCAGAAUAUGUAUUGGAAACAUACAGCAAAUUGUAAAUAUAAGUAUAAAAGGAUCUUGACAAAUACACACCCAAACAUGAACAUGGGGACUUCAGAUCAGUAAGAUUAUGAAUAGCAUUUAUUCUCUUCUGUAUAUUUAUAAGCUGGCUCUUUCAGAACAAGUGUCUCUAACGUUUGUACAUUUUAAACUUUUCCACAUUAAAUGUUUAUAGAAGCAACAUUUCAUUGUACAUGACAACUUUCAUUUACUGUAGGUUGGGAAGGCUGAAUAUGUUGCUAAGAGGCAGAAGGAGAAAGUAGGAAAUGGAGUAGUCUUAGCAACCAACUCUGUUCCUUCAACUGUCUGGGAUUCUGAAAAGUAAUUAACCAUUCUUUGAUAUCUUAUGACACUUUUCUAAUAAAAUCUGUGGCUCUCAGUAGAAACAGCACAGGACAAAUGACAAGAAGCUACCUGCAGCCCAUGUUUUCAGUUGUCAAGUUCAGCCUCCAACCUAUGUCACUUCUCCCCGAAUGUCACUUUCCAUAACAUCCACUGGCCAAGAUUAAUCUGUUAAAUACUGUGCUUUACUCUAUUCCACAUGACUGAAAAAUUGGAUGUGUGAGGUGAUGUCAGUGACUCCCAGUUACUCUCACCAAAGUAGAGCGUCUUUAUUGCUAUGAGGGCUCGGGGUGGUGGAGGCUUCUCACCCAAUUUUCUUCUAGGACAAGGAAAACUUACAACACAUUUUGUUUUAAUUAACAUUUUACAUAAACCAUUCUAAAGAAAGAUAAAUAAAUUAACAUUUAAUUCAUGCCUCGACAAUAGGAAGGAAAUGUCAAUUAAUCUGACAUUUGAUUGAUGUUGACAUUCAACUAAAAAUUAAGAUUUGUAAAGGAAAAGUAGAAACAGUUUUAAGGCUCUACUAAAAUUUUAUGAUAGUUUGGCUCUAGUUUUAAUGUUUUAGUAUAUCCUAUGCUUGGAUAAUACCAACAGGAAAAAUAUGUUUUGUCACAGCUUAAUAACUUUAACAUAUUUUCAAUGUGGGUUCUCAAAUUCUAAUCUACAGGAAAACGAAGUAAAUAUGGGAUGGGAGACUUAAAAGACAUUGUAGAAUAUUAACACAGUGUAAACUAAAGCUUAAGAGUUCUUAAAGCACAGGGUCUGCUGUGUGUGUGUGUGUGUGUGUGUGUGUGUGUGUGUGUGUGUGUGUGUUUUCCUUUAGUCUAACUCACAGUCAUCUCUCUAAGGUAACAAAAUGCACAUGCGCCUUCUUGAGCCCUAGGCUUAAGAAUGUGGAGCUCAUUUGGCACGGUUAUUUGGAGUAUUGUUCAUGUCAUAAGACCUACACACAGAAAUGGAGUCUACAUGCCCACCCUAGAAGGGGAAGGGCCAUUCUUGCCUUUUGUCUUGCUGUAGCUACAUGACCCGAAUGACUCACCGAGCUUCUGAGAGCUCCCUACUUCCUCAUCUACGAAACAGACACAGAUCUAGAGGGUGUCUAGGUUCUUCCCAGAACAAAACUUCUUAAAGCUCCAGUCUUUACGUUCAUUCCCCAUACACACAACUACAAAUCUGGAAAGAUCAUAUUUUUGUAAUCCAAUGAAAAUGCAAAUUUUUUUAAAACUGCAUUUUAACAAAAUUUUCUCUGAAAUUUUGAACAAGGGAAGAAGAUAUUAAGGUCAUUUUCACGUGAAAUUUUACUUUCAGCAUCAGGACUGUCCCUUCUUGCUCAUCAACAUUACAAAGCCACCUCCUUUCACUGUCUCAUGAAUCUCCCCAGAUACUUGGCUGUCCUAAGUACAAAACUGGUAAGAAUAAUGAAAUAUGCUAAAGGCAGAAAACAUCUAGUAGAUAAUGAUAAUUAACUUUGUCUUCCAAAAAUAUAAUUGAAAGUAGACAUUCCAAUUUCUUAAAAUACUAUAUACCAGUGUGCCAGCUGGCUAUUACCAAAUCAGAAAUAAAAACUAACAUUCCAUUUAGUAUCGGGUGUGGUAGUAUAUUCAUGAUGUCACUAAUUUCUCACAACUCUAUGAGGAAGUAUUAUAAUUAUUCCCACUCGACAGCUGAGGAAGCUAAAAUUCCCUCAGUUUCAAAUGGGAAGCUAGAAAUCACCAGACCCACAACUGACCUCCUGCUCUCGUCCUCUGAACCCUUUGCUCUCCCCAUGACAAUCCAAGCUUACAAACACUUAACAUUUACACCAAACACAAGUUUACCUCAUUCAAUGACAAUGGCUGAUCACAGAUAUGCUAAACUACUUCUGUGGUUGUUGAACACAUAUGACAGAAAAAGUCUACCUUCCAAUACUUCAAAAUUAAAAAGGGAAAAGAACCACACAAUUGAAAAGAAAAAAACUAACCUCAGUUUCCCAACAAUAAACAAAAUAGUCUGGCAGCACUCAAUCUCUGUUAAUAUAAACACUGACAGUAAGAAUAGCUGUUUCUCCCUCACUAUUUGACUACCACGAUGUAGGGAUGUAGGAAAUUGUUUGUAAAUACUAGCAAGAAUAUGGGCAACGGGGAGAUUUCAUUCACUGCUGGUGGGAUGCUAAAUUGGCUAGUGAGACUCAGUGUGGAAUCAAUAUGGUUGCUUCUCAAAAACCUAAAAAUAGAACUGCCAUAGGAACCAACCGUCCCAUUCCUGGGCACUCAACCAAAAGACUGUGCAUCGUACUACACAGACAAAAGUCCACAUCCAAAGUCCACACUCAUUGUGACACUAGUCACAAUAACCACAGAAAGAAACCAGCCUAGAUGUCUAUCACCCUAUGGAUGGGUAAUGAAAAUGUGAUCCUAGAGUCGUGUGUUCAAGUUGGAGUGCUCCUAGAGACCAGAAAGGUAGGAAAGGGACUGUGGGGUAGGGGUGGUUGAAAAGCCAUUGAGGGAGGGAGAAUAACAGAAUGUGGAUGACAUGACAGUGGGAAAAGAAUAAUGGGGCAGGGAACGUUUAAGUGGAGAAGAUGAUACGAGGGUGGUCAGCAGAUGGGGAGGGACCCCCAACACUAACAUUGUUUUUUUAAAGCCGCAUGGAAAUCUAUUUUAUAAGACUACUCACAAAUAUCAUUUUUAGAUGGGUUUGAACAGAGGUAUUGUAUACAGAGAGAGAAUGUUUCUCCUAGAAGCCAUGGGUUACUAAACAAAGGUCCCAGUGUCAGAUGUGAAAGACCUCUCUAGAAUGUAUUGAUCAGGAAGGCCCUAGAAGCUCCCAAAACUAAACAGGUUAUUGCCAUUAUUCUUGAUUACCCAGGAGAACUUGAAGGUAAAGGCCUAUUGCUGAAGACAGCACAUGUUUAACUGGAAGUGAGUUGGAAACUUCCUCUCUGCUGCCUGGCUUUCACUGUGUCAGAGGAGCUGUGCAGACUGCUGGCUGACAAGAGUCAUUUACAGUCUUAGCCAGCUGUGAACCCUUCAAACUAUAAUAAUGACUGACCUGACAAGCUAUGGACAAUGGAGUAAUAGUGGUAUGACUGAUAUGGAGGUAGAAGGUAACCAACCACUUUCUGCUUGAAUCCAAGACCACCUUCACAAAGUAGGACACAGAACUAGUACUUCAAACCUGGUCAAAAGCUGGUGGCUGGAAUUCAUGGGCCCUAUGGGAGAACCCACUUCUAUUCCGUUGCUAAAUGAUCAUGUGACCAACCAAUCUUCUAAAUCUGUAGUUUAUACUCAUAGAUUAAUGCUACACUUGGCCUUCCUAAGUAAAAUUGGUAAUUUUAUAGUAUUUAGCAGAACUAAAAACAGAGCCUCCUACAAAACAAUUUCACUUCUAAGAAUUUGUCAUCUAUUUUAUUUGUUUGGACAAGGAAAAGAACUUCUUAAUAAUUGUUAAUCAUGUAAAGGUUUCUCCUGAAAACAGUCCAAAUGUUCCAUCAGAAGUAAUUCGAUUUGUAGUGCUGCACACAGUAAAACAUCAGGUUCCAAUAUAAGACAAACACAAGAGCAAAAAGGUACUGGAGUAGACUCACUUCUAUAUGAAAAUAGAUUAGAUAGAUAGAUAGAUAGAUAGAUAGAUAGAUAUCACACCCCAGAUUCUCAGUGGUAUGUGCUCAAUAAAAUAUUUCUAGAAAGAAACCCAAAAUUUCCCCCUUUCAAGUAAAGAACUGAAAAUGCAAGAGUUUGGCUUACAAGGGAAAACAUUCAGUUCUUUUAUAUUUAAUCCUAUCUGAAAUGUCUAACACUUUACAAACUUAGUCCCAAGACUCACUGAUAUUUCAAACUACUUAGAAAAAAUGUCCGUGAAAUACAUUUGCAAAUGAAAGAGAAUAUCCACAGUAAGAUACCCGAGGCAGUGCUUUCCCACCAGGAUUGCAGGGAUAAUCAUCCUUGAUCCAAUACCUACUGCCUCAAGCCAAACCCAGUAGCACAGUUACUCAAUAAGCACUGUGAGGAGCGGAGGGUCCUCCACUACAAUGCAGAUAUCCAUCUAGGAGAUAAUAGCUGUAAGCAAUACUUCUCAAACAUUUUCACCACGUUACUCCAAAUAUCAAACACACUGAGUUUGCUCCCCCUGGGUGUCAGAUAGUAUGUCAGAAGGCCCUCGUCUUUUUUAGUACACCCACACUUUUUUCAAAUAGAAAAAAAAUUCUCAUAAUAUUUCAAAGAAAAUGGACAAUCCAGAUAUAAGUAGUGGGUUAUUUUUUAAGCUUAACCUCUAAAAUGGAGAGCAGGCCUUGAGUAUGGGGUGAAGGACAAUGAGAAGAUACGCACAUAAUAUCUAACCUGCACAUCACACACUCUGUGGCUUCAUCCUCUGAGACCCCAUUCUCUACGCAAGUUCUGAACCCCUACUGUGGUUACCUGCCCUCACACUCACUAAGCCAUAGUUUCUUAGUUUCAAUAGAUACAGGGAAAAAUGCCAUCCAAAGAGGUGUUAGCCAGUGCAUUUUCCACAAACAGCAGUGCAUGGACCCCUUUCCUGACACCAUGUCAAUUAAGCACAGGGACAUAUUUUCUGUCCAGCUAUUUGACUAGGGGUGAAGGUAUAUAUCAAAUGCUGAAACAAACAUGACUGAAUAGUGAAGCAAAGAAUGGCUUGGCUGUGUGAUUAGGAAAACCACUCUAGCCAUCUUGGUUAGAGAAGGCCUAUCCCAAGGAGAGACAUUUGAGCUACAAUUUAAACCACAGGAUGUGUGAGAGCUCCUAUGUCAACUUGACUAAGCCAUGGGGCACCCGGGGGAAGCAUUAUUUCUGGGUGCAUCUCUGAGAGUGUUUCCACAGAAGAUGGAACUUAAAAUCAGCAAACUGAGAAAAGAUGGCCCUACCCAACACAGGUGGAAACCAUCUAGUCGCGUAAAGCCCAUACGGGACACAGCAAAGGAAGGGAGAAGUCAGCUCUCUGUUUCUGUCUUCCCAUUUUAGCCAAGCCAUCUCUUCUUCUCCUGCAUUUGGACAGACAAGCUUCCCUGAUUGAGGGGUUUUCAGAGUCAGACAAAAACAUAUCACCAGCUCCCUGCUUCUCCCCCUUUCAGGUGGCAAACUGUGGGAAUUCCUGCUUUUCACUUUCAUGUUAGCCCAGUCAUAAGUCUCCGUAACAUCAGUCAAUAUCCUGUUUCACUAGAGAGCCCUGACUGAUGCCGAAGGGGUUAUCAGGUCAAAUAUGAGGAAUGUCCUAAAGCAAAGUCCUAAAGAACAUACUUGAAACAUUAAAGCACAGGAAAGUGACCACUGUGGUUGGAAAAUAAACACCUGGGAACAAGGGCUAAACAAUAAGAGAGACCAGUUCCUGUAAAGCUUUACUGACUGAAAUCAGAACGUGAUUAUUUAUUUUUUUGUUUUGCAGUGGGAAUUUUUGGAGGUCUGUAGACAGGAGAGUGAUAUAAGCUCACUUAUUAUCUUUUGAGAAAGUCAUUCCUAGUGCGAUGUGGGCAAGGCUUUACGGGAAGCAAACACAAGGAUGACUCCGAGACAAAGUCAUCCAGGCGCAUGAUGAUGGGGGUAAGUCAUGAACGUACUAGUGAGGAUAGCCGUCAUGCAGAGGAAGAUAUCGAACACGGCGGCAUUCAGAAUCCCACCCCCAGUCACUGACAUCCUCUCUAUAAAGCUAACCACUCUGAUUCAUAACUCCAUAAGUUAUUUGUCCUACUGGGACCCCUGUGUAAAUGGGAUGUGGCAAUAUAUUAUGUUACACUUGAUACCCUGUGUAUAGAACACAUGCAAACCACCUUAGGUCACUAUAGCUUAUCCUUUGUUGUAAGUAUACUGCACUCUGUCUGUUUCUGAUGAAAAUGGGUGUUUCAGUUAUGUGCGGGUUUGGACCUUUUAACAAUGCCGCUGCUGUAACAUUCUGUUCAACUGUCUCCAUCACAGAGAGCAGGUUUUCGCACGAUGGAACAACUGCAUGACAUUUCAGGAAACCUCAUUUCUUCAAAAAAAACUGAAUCCUGUAACUGACCAAUUCAUUUUCUUCUAUGCACACGUGUGUUUCAUCCUAGAUCCUAAAUGUUAUCAAUAAAAAAAUGUAUCCAAGUCUUAUUUCUA